GAUGAACGCUGGCGGCGUGCCUAAUACAUGCAAGUCGAGCGAACGGACGAGAAUCUUGCUUCUCUGAUGUUAGCGGCGGACGGGUGAGUAACACGUGGAUAACCUACCUAUAAGACUGGGAUAACUUCGGGAAACCGGAUCUAAUACCGGAUAAUAUUUUGAACCGCAUGGUUCAAAAGUGAAAGACGGUCUUGCUGUCACUUAUAGAUGGAUCUGCGCUGCAUUAGCUAGUUGGUAAUGUAACGGCUUACCAAGGCAACGAUGCAUAGCCGACCUGCGAGGGUGAUAGGCCGCACUGGAACGGAGACACGGUCCAGGGUCCUACGGGAGGCAGCAGUAGGGAAUCUUCCGCAAUAGGCGAAAGCCUGGCGGAGCAGCGCCGAGUGAGUGAUGAAGGUCUUCGGAUCGUAAUACUCUGUUAUUAGUGGAGAACAUAUGUGUAAGUAGCUGUACACAUCUUGACGGUAACUAAUAAGAAAGCCACGGCUAACUACGUG
rnacentral:rRNA from 1 species